UGGGGUUGGACCACAAAGAGCCAAAAAGUCUCUGUCAACACGUUUAAAAACAUGCCUUUCAGCUCACAUGUAUACGUAUUCGUCAUUAGGAGUCUACCUUUGGGAAAUCCAUGCAAUCCAAUUAACUCAAACAACUAAGACACAGAAUGAAAACAAACAUGUUGUCCUCGCAUCUUCCUCGUGGUAUGUUUCUGUAGCCUACUAGUCUGCUAUAUGGGGAUUAAUGACAUAAAGGGAUGUGUGUGUGACUUCUUUAUUAGAUGGGUGUCUGAUAAAGGAGCUAAACCAAGAUGACUAAAUCAACCCAGGGGUUUCUAUUCAGCACCUUGGACAGCACCUUCCACUACAAGCGCAGUACAUAGGUUAUCUGCCUCUCUCUUGACUGAACAGUAGAUUAUCCGUUCCGCCUAGCCCUAGGUGGAAAACACAACAAUUACAAACAGACAUGGCAAAAUCAGCAGCUAUCUUGCUGGUGUUCAUUUCCUUUUUGUACAUCCUACCUCAAUCAGCCCAUGUGGUUGCAGGAUGGACAGACGAAAGGCUACCAAAGGCUGAAGUUAUAGAGGACUCUAGAGAACUGCUGGGUGUCCUUCAUAACGUCCUGGAGAAACUCCAAAACAGAAGAAUGGCUGUGUGGGAAAGAAGGCAAAGCCACCUUCCUAGUUGUAUUGUCGGUGACUACUGCACAGUGAAAAAGGGACCACGGUACGGCCAACUAUGUGACUGUCCAAGAGGAUCAAAGUGCAACCUCUUCUUCCUCAAGUGUUUGUGAUUUAUUUUUGUUAUGGUAUUAGUUCAUUUAUUUCUGUCUGAAAUAUAGUAGGAUUUGAAAUUUCGCUUCGCUAACUUCUAAUAUAUAUCCUUCUUCUGACCUGUUCCAUCCAUGUGUUCUUUAAUUUGCCUCUCAUUCUACCAUUCUGGUUGUUGUGCGUUCAGCACAGAUAUGAAGGUAAGCUCUGUAAAAAUGAAAAAGAGAGGCUCUUUUUAAAUAAAAAUGUUG